rnacentral:rRNA from 1 species
GACAGAGGUGCCGAGCGUUAGGCGGAAUCACUGGGCUUAAAGCGUGUGUAGGCGGAUCGUUAAGUACCUUGUGAAAUCCCACGGCUUAACCGUGGAACUGCUGGGUAUACUGGCGAUCUUGAGCCACCUAGGGGCAACCGGAACAAAUGGUGGAGCGGUGAAAUGCGUAGAUAUCAUUUGGAACGCCAAUGGUGAAAACAGGUUGCUGGGGGUGCGCUGACGCUGAGACACGAAAGCCAGGGGAGCGAACGGG